rnacentral:rRNA from 1 species
GACGAACGCUGGCGGCGUGCUUAACACAUGCAAGUCGAACGCUGAAGCCCUUCGGGGUGGAUGAGUGGCGAACGGGUGAGUAACACGUGGGUAAUCUGCCCUGCACUCUGGGAUAAGCCUUGGAAACGGGGUCUAAUACCGGAUAGGACACAUCGCCGCAUGGUGUGUGUGUGGAAAGUUCCGGCGGUGCAGGUUGAGCCCGCGGCCUAUCAGCUUGUUGGUGGGGUGAUGGCCUACCAAGGCGACGACGGGGAGCCGGCCUGAGAGGGUGACCGGCCACACUGGGACUGGGACACGGCCCAGACACCUACGGCAGGCAGGAGUGGGGAAUCUUGCGCAAUGGGCGAAAGCCUGACGCAGCAGCGCCGCGUGGGGGAUGACGGCCUUCGGGUUGUAAACCUCUUUCGACCGGGACGAAGGAUUCGUUUGACGGUACCGGUAGAAGAAGCACCGGCUAACUACGUGCCAGCCGCCGCAGUAA